UACGUAGGGGGCGAGCGUUGUCCGGAUUUAUUGGGCGUAAAGAGCUCGUAGGCGGUCUGUCGCGUCUGCUGUGAAAACUCAGGGCUUAACCCUGAGCUUGCAGUGGGUACGGGCAGACUAGAGUGCGGUAGGGGAGACUGGAAUUCCUGGUGUAGCGGUGAAAUGCGCAGAUAUCAGGAGGAACACCGGUGGCGAAGGCGGUUCUCUGGGCAUGUCCUGACGCUGAGGAGCGAAAGUGUGGGGAGGCGAACAGG
rnacentral:rRNA from 1 species